UACGGGGGGGGCAAGCGGUGUUCGGAAUUACUGGGCGUAAAGGGCUCGUAGGCGGCCAAGUAAGUCAGACGUGAAAUCCCUCGGCUUAACCGGGGAACUGCGUCUGAUACUGGAUGGCUAGAGAUUGGGAGAGGGAUGCGGAAUUCCAGGUGUAGCGGUGAAAUGCGUAGAUAUCUGGAGGAACACCGGUGGCGAAGGCGGCAUCCUGGACCAACACUGACGCUGAGGCGCGAAAGCGUGGGGAGCAAACGGG
rnacentral:rRNA from 1 species